rnacentral:rRNA from 1 species
GAUGAACGCUGGCGGCGUGCCUAAUACAUGCAAGUCGAACGCAUAGCGAAAGGUGCUUGCACCUUUCAAGUGAGUGGCGAACGGGUGAGUAACACGUGGACAACCUGCCUCAAGGCUGGGGAUAACAUUUGGAAACAGAUGCUAAUACCGAAUAAAACUUAGUGUCGCAUGACACAAAGUUAAAAGGCGCUUCGGCGUCACCUAGAGAUGGAUCCGCGGUGCAUUAGUUAGUUGGUGGGGUAAAGGCCUACCAAGACAAUGAUGCAUAGCCGAGUUGAGAGACUGAUCGGCCACAUUGGGACUGAGACACGGCCCAAACUCCUACGGGAGGCUGCAGUAGGGAAUCUUCCACAAUGGGCGAAAGCCUGAUGGAGCAACGCCGCGUGUGUGAUGAAGGCUUUCGGGUCGUAAAGCACUGUUGUAUGGGAAGAACAGCUAGAAUAGGAAAUGAUUUUAGUUUGACGGUGCCAUACCAGAAAGGGACGGCUAAAUACGUG